rnacentral:rRNA from 1 species
GUCUACGGCCAUAACCACCCUGAACGCGCCCGAUCUCGUCUGAUCUCGGAAGCUAAGCAGGGUCGGGCCCGGUUAGUACUUGGAUGGGAGACCGCCUGGGAAUACCGGUGCUGGCUUUU